UACGGAGGGUGCAAACGUUGUCCGGAAUCACUGGGCGUAAAGCGCAUGUAGGUGGUCUUGUGCGUCUUUGAUUAAAGACUGCCGCUUAACGGCAGGAUUGUUGGAGAUACGGCAAGACUGGAGGAUAGCAGGGGUACGUGGAACUUUGAGUGUAGGAGUGAUAUCCGUAGAUAUUCAGAGGAACACCAAUGGCGAAGGCAGCGUACUGGGCUAUUUCUGACACUAAGAUGCGAAAGCGUGGGGAGCAAACAGG
rnacentral:misc_RNA from 1 species